AUGCGUAGGAGGAAGGAAGGAGGAGAAAGGAAGAGGCCGCCGGUGUGCGAGGUACGGCGUUGGAAUCGAUGGGGAUGGUUGCUCCUCCCAAGAUUCAGUUAUGGCAUGGACAUGUAUGCUGAAUAUCCCCUCACUGGACAAGAUUGGAUUUUAGUGUAUACAAGCCCUCCUCUCAGCUGCUCAGGCAUAAACACCUUACUGCAAAUGUUCUUUGUGUCUCGCCUCCUCGUCGUGAUGGGUGGCUCCUACAGCUUCGCCAUGCCAACCAUCUCCAUGAGAACAUGGCAGGUAGCUGUGCUUCUUGAUGAGCGGGCUAGCCAUGAGGCGAGGAGCAGCAAGGUCUGA
rnacentral:rRNA from 1 species